rnacentral:lncRNA from 1 species
UGUCAGUGUGGAUCUUAUUCCCCUGUCCUUAUGUUCCCGUGAGAGAUCUUUUGCUCUACUCCCCAGGAGGAAGUAGUAUCAGAAAAACAUUUUAAGGUAUUCUCUUCAUCUCUUUUUUUCUCUUCUAGGGAGGAAAAACUAUGUAUAUGAUUAACAAGGUAGGGGGAGGAUCACUGGAUACAUGCAUACAUAUGUUUCUUACCUGCUCUGUUUGGGGGCACUUGCUCUUUCCUCUAACACUGCUUCCAUAUGUGGAAAAGACUGCUGGCUCAGGACUCAGAACCUAGCUUCUCCAGCUCUCAUCAAGGCAAGAGUUUUGGGAAAUUAACACAAUCAGCUUUGGGAAUAAAUAUGUCAACAAACAGAGUUUAUGUGUCUGCCGACUGCUCUCCUCAUGAAGAACAUUAUCCAGAGUUGAUCUUUAACUAUUGGAUGGCACAAAGAUAUUAUGCAUCUAUUGAAGACAGAAGAGAAAGUGUAAUCUCUCU